rnacentral:ncRNA from 1 species
AUAAAAACUUUGAAAGGGACAAGUAAAUAUAUGUAUUUUCAAAGAGAGUAGGUAAUGGUGCGAGCCUAUAAAAUAUUUAUAUUGAAAACUCACCCUCAAGUUGUAGGCUGAACUAAGUAAGCUGUGCCAGCAUAUAGUGCCGUUAUUUAAUUAAGUAAAAUUUGGGUGGUACCGCGAAACAGACUUCUCGCCCCAUGG